rnacentral:miRNA from 1 species
ACCAGUAGGCCGAGGCCCCUCAC